CUGUGUGGUCCAGCCCCUCCACUUUACGGAGGGGAGGAUGAAGGGCCCUGAGAGGAAACAGAGCUUGUCCAAGGUCACAGAACAAGUGAGCGAGGAGGCCAGGGAAGAAACGGAGACUCAGGAGGGUUGAGUAAUUGGCCAAGUCUGCAGAUUAACCAGUGGCAUGGUUCUAACUCGGGUGGCUGGCCACUGCUCUGAGGACCCCUGCACCCUGCCAUUAUCUGAAGAUGCUCAGAGCCCUGAAUUUGCAAGAUCCUAGCCCAGCCCUGGUAGAAUCUAGGCCCCAGAUGCCAAUGGGGUUACAGUUCUGUGUUGUGGAGGCUUCCAAUGGCCCAAAGGAGAUCUAGACCUGA